CUGGGGAUAUACUCAGUUGGUACAGUGUUGUUUGCCUCAUAUGCACAAGGCCCUGGGUUCAAUCCCCAGCACCAAAA
rnacentral:tRNA from 1 species